AGGAGCCUCUUUUAUUUGCUCUGUGAAUGUAGCUUUUCAUUGCACAGCUGAACAAUCAGGAGGUCCUAUAAAUGGUCCAAGAUGUGGGCUGAAAGAAAAUGGACUGGGGAUGUAGCUAGUUGGCAGAGCCCUUACCUAGGGAGGCCCUGGGUUUGAUCCCCAGUACAACAAAAAAGAAGAAAACAGGGGAGGGGAGCAACAGGAGGGAGAAAGAAAGAACACAGGAAGAAAAUAGCCGAAACAAGGGGAUGGGCCGCUAUAGCUGCCAGGAAAAGCGCUCCCUUCUGUUUCCCGAGUGAAGAAACCUGUUGACUACGGGAAUGAGGCGUUUGGAGAGAUUUCGUCAUUACCUGAAAUCCAUCCAGCAUUAAGGGCUACCUUUGGAGAGACGGUGGAAGGAGAUCGUGCAGGAUUUCAAAACCGACUGGAGGCUUUAGAGCACCCCAGCGGGAGCUAGGGAAGCUACCUGGAGGUUUUGUGUGGCUGCUGUAGCAGGUUGGGUGCCAUCCCCAGGGAGAGGAUCACCAUUGUGCUCAAGGACAUCCAGCUGGCUUGCUCUGUGAUGAGCACAGUACCAGAAGUUAUAGUUGCAUGGCACUGUGGGCUUCGAGUCUUUGGCUUCUCCCUUAUCACUAACAUGGUCAUCAUGGAUUAUGAAAGCCUGGAAAAGACGACUCAUGAGGAAGUAUUAGAGGCUGGAAAACAAGCUGCACAGAAAUUGGAAAAGUUUGUCUCCAUUCUUAUGGCCAUCAUUCCCCCCCCCCCCCCCCCCCGCCCCGACAAUACCAUUUGACCAGCCCUGGAAUGGUCCAACCGCUAAUGGGAUCCCAGUAACUGCUACCUUCUUUGGCCCUUUCCUGGGUCAUGUGCCUCUACCCUUCAAUAAUAGCAGAAAGGAAAGGAGUGGAAGAUCCCCGUCCUUCACCUUCCCCACUUUUCUACCAGAUACUUCUGGUACUAGAACCUCUUGCUCAAUUGUCUUCUCAGAGCAGUUUGUUUUCACCUCCAUUCUUUGUAAGAGACAGAGCCCAUGCUCUGUCACACCUGGGGAUAUACCCAUGGUUUGAUAUAGGCCUUUGACUGUCACACAGUAGCUCCUACUACUGCCUCACCUAAAGCACUGGAGACCAAACAAGACCAGCCCAGAACCUCCUGGAAUUUAAUUAAUAUCAUAAUGUUUUUACAAUAAAGAGAGAUGAAAUAA